AACACGUGGGCAACCUGCCUGUAAGACUGGGAUAACUCCGGGAAACCGGGGCUAAUACCGGAUAAUUCUUUCCCUCACAUGAGGGAAAGCUGAAAGAUGGUUUCGGCUAUCACUUACAGAUGGGCCCGCGGCGCAUUAGCUAGUUGGUGAGGUAACGGCUCACCAAGGCAACGAUGCGUAGCCGACCUGAGAGGGUGAUCGGCCACACUGGGACUGAGACACGGCCCAGACUCCUACGGGAGGCAGCAGUAGGGAAUCUUCCGCAAUGGACGAAAGUCUGACGGAGCAACGCCGCGUGAGUGAUGAAGGUUUUCGGAUCGUAAAACUCUGUUGUUAGGGAAGAACAAGUACCGGAGUAACUGCCGGUACCUUGACGGUACCUAACCAGAAAGCCACGGCUAACUACGUGCCAGCAGCCGCGGUAAUACGUAGGUGGCAAGCGUUGUCCGGAAUUAUUGGGCGUAAAGCGCGCGCAGGCGGUUCCUUAAGUCUGAUGUGAAAGCCCCCGGCUCAACCGGGGAGGGUCAUUGGAAACUGGGGAACUUGAGUGCAGAAGAGAAGAGUGGAAUUCCACGUGUAGCGGUGAAAUGCGUAGAGAUGUGGAGGAACACCAGUGGCGAAAGCGACUCUUUGGUCUGUAACUGACGCUGAGGCGCGAAAGCGU
rnacentral:rRNA from 2 species